GUAAGAGUUAGGAGCAUAUUACAAGUGUGAUUUGAAUGACAUGGAGAAGAUUAGCAUGCCUCAUACCCAAGGGUGACACACAAAUCGACACACUGCUCCGUAUUUUA
ensembl:snRNA U6 U6 spliceosomal RNA